rfam:Myotis davidii contig25852, whole genome shotgun sequence.
CGAGGGAGGGGAUGAUCCCUCAGUCCAGAUUGCAAGAGAGUGCAGGCCAGGCCGAGGGACCCCACCAGUGCACA